CUUGUUUAGGGUAUUUUCGGAAUAUCGAUUGUUUCUAACUCAGCUUUAAACCCGUUUAUAUUCCUCCUCUUCCACAGUGGUUCAUCAAGACUUGACAGCUGUACAUCCCGUUGUUUUCCUGGUUCUAGCACAAUUAGUAGCAGGAUGCAGGGAUUCAGAGUUCAGUUCAG